GAUGAACGCUGGCGGCGUGCCUAAUACAUGCAAGUCGAGCGAACAGACGAGGAGCUUGCUCCUCUGACGUUAGCGGCGGACGGGUGAGUAACACGUGGAUAACCUACCUAUAAGACUGGGAUAACUUCGGGAAACCGGAGCUAAUACCGGAUAACAUGUUGAACCGCAUGGUUUAACAGUGAAAGACGGUCUUGCUGUCACUUAUAGAUGGAUCCGCGCCGUAUUAGCUAGUUGGUAAGGUAACGGCUUACCAAGGCAACGAUGCGUAGCCGACCUGAGAGGGUGAUCGGCCACACUGGAACUGAGACACGGUCCAGACUCCUACGGGAGGCAGCAGUAGGGAAUCUUCCGCAAUGGGCGAAAGCCUGACGGAGCAACGCCGCGUGAGUGAAGAAGGUCUUCGGAUCGUAAAACUCUGUUAUUAGGGAAGAACAAAUGUGUAAGUAACUAUGCACGUCCUGACGGUACCUAAUCAGAAAGCCACGGCUAACUACGUG
rnacentral:rRNA from 1 species